UAGGGAAUCUUCGGCAAUGGGGGGAACCCUGACCGAGCAACGCCGCGUGAGUGAAGAAGGUUUUCGGAUCGUAAAGCUCUGUUGUUAAGGAAGAACGAGUGUGAGAAUGGAAAGUUCAUGCUGUGACGGUACUUAACCAGAAAGGGACGGCUAACUACGUGCCAGCAGCCGCGGUACUACGUAGGUCCCGAGCGUUGUCCGGAUUUAUUGGGCGUAAAGCGAGCGCAGGCGGUUAGAAAAGUCUGAAGUGAAAGGCAGUGGCUCAACCAUUGUAGGCUUUGGAAACUGUUUAACUGGAGUGCAGAAGGGGAGAGUGGAAUUCCAGGUGUAGCGGUGAAAUGCGUAGAUAUAUGGAGGAACACCGGUGGCGAAAGCGGCUCUCUGGUCUGUAACUGACGCGGAGGCUCGAAAGCGUGGGGAGCGAACAGG
rnacentral:rRNA from 1 species